GUGGGGAAUAUUGGACAAUGGGCGAAAGCCUGAUCCAGCAAUGCCGCGUGAGUGAUGAAGGCCUUAGGGUUGUAAAGCUCUUUUACCAGGGAUGAUAAUGACAGUACCUGGAGAAUAAGCUCCGGCUAACUCCGUGCCAGCAGCCGCGGUAAUACGGAGGGAGCUAGCGUUGUUCGGAAUUACUGGGCGUAAAGCGCGCGUAGGCGGCUACUCAAGUCAGAGGUGAAAGCCCGGGGCUCAACCCCGGAACUGCCUUUGAAACUAGGUAGCUAGAAUCUUGGAGAGGUCAGUGGAAUUCCGAGUGUAGAGGUGAAAUUCGUAGAUAUUCGGAAGAACACCAGUGGCGAAGGCGACUGACUGGACAAGUAUUGACGCUGAGGUGCGAAAGCGUGGGGAGCAAACAGGAUUAGAAACCCGGGUAGUCC
rnacentral:rRNA from 1 species